AUGACACCUCUGUUAUGGCGUUAUCGGCUUGAGCUAUUUCCAGCCGUAUUUAUGCUUCUCCGAUACUCAAAACAAAAACAGAUGAAUCAACAACAACUCGGUCCUUUAGUCUUCUCAGAGGUGCGUGAGCAUUUCUUGAAUGGAUACUUGUCCGAAAACCCACUUUUAUGGUCUUUAAUUUCUGAGCUUUGGGAUGAAAUUCAUCGACCCAAUUCUUCUUCAAAUGCAGAAAAUUUGUUACUCAAGUGA